rnacentral:misc_RNA from 1 species
AAAAAAAAAAUAAAAAUAAAAAUGAAUCAAAAUCAGUAAAGUAUAAAACUUCUCCAGCCACAAUGUUCAUGUUUCUUUUAGCUAUCUUGAACUUAAAUCCUUCUAAACUCUUACCAUUGAAAUUUUCGCUUUGAUUUCACUUUGCAACGAGGCAAAAAUCAAGUAAAGUGAGUAUAAUUUGGCCUUUUCACUUUCUUUAAAUGCGGGAGUAAAUUUUAAUCAUGAGUUAGUUGCUUUUCCUAAUUUUAGUCCAACUCCUUUAGAUAUCUCCCAUUUAAUGCAUUUUGCAAUUUUACAUGAGAUAGAGAGAAAGAGAGGCAUGACAUGCUGUGAUGACCUCGUAUCUAUUGCACAGCAAUUUAAAAUAAAUAAUACCAAGAAAGUGCAAAAGAAAAGUGAUAAAAUACCUCUAUUUCUAUUUUUUCUUUCAU